GACGAACGCUGGCGGCGUGCUUAACACAUGCAAGUCGAACGGAAAGGCCCCUUUGGGGGUACUCGAGUGGCGAACGGGUGCGUAACACGUGAGUAACCUGCCCUUGACUUCGGGAUAACUUCAGGAAACUGGGGCUAAUACCGGAUAGGAAUCCUUGCUGCAUGGUGGGGGUUGGAAAGCUUCGGCGGUUUUGGAUGGACUCGCGGCUUAUCAGCUUGUUGGUGGGGUAGUGGCUUACCAAGGCUUUGACGGGUAGCCGGCCUGAGAGGGCGACCGGCCACAUUGGGACUGAGAUACGGCCCAGACUCCUACGGGAGGCAGCAGUGGGGAAUAUUGCACAAUGGGCGGAAGCCUGAUGCAGCAACGCAGCGUGCGGGAUGACGGCCUUCGGGUUGUAAACCGCUUUCAGCAGGGGCGAAGCUUUUGUGACGGUACCUGCAGAAGAAGCACCGGCUAACUACGUG
rnacentral:rRNA from 1 species